rnacentral:rRNA from 1 species
AAUGGCUGCAGUAAUUUGACUGUACAAAGGUAGCAUAAUCAUUAGUUUUUUAAUUAAAAGCUUGUAUGAAAGGUUGGACGAAAUAAAAUCUGUCUCUUUUUAAUAAAAUUAGAAUUUAAUUUUUAAGUUAAAAAGCUUAAAUUUUUAUAAAAGACGAGAAGACCCUAUAGAGUUUUAUAUUUUUAAUUUAAUAAUUAAUUUAGAUUUAUUAAUUUUAUUUUAUUUAAAUUAUUUUAUUGGGGUAAUAGAAAGAUUAAGAAAAUUCUUUUUUUAAUAAAUCAUUAAUAUAUGAAAAUUUAUGAUCCAUAAAAUUUUGAAUAUAAGAUUAAAUUACCUUAGGGAUAACAGCGUAAUUUUUUUUUAGAGUUCUUAUCGAUAAAAAAGUUUGCGACCUCGAUGUUGGAUUAAAGAUUAGUUUAGGUGUAGAAGUUUAAAUUUUUGGUCUGUUCGACCAUUAAAUCUUUACAUGAUCUGAGUUCAAACCGGUGUAAGCCAGGUUGGUUUCUAUCUUUAUAAUAUUUUUAUAUUUUAGUACGAAAGGACCAAAUAUAAUGUAUAGAUAAAUACUUAUUUUAAUGAAUAU